GUAUGCAUAUUGCUUGACCAUGGAGCUACAUGGGAUUGCUUGAAAUGGAGCUACAGGCAACAUGCUGCUUUGCACAGUUGGACGGGAGAGGGGAGCAGCAGCAGCUGUACUAUGUGUGUUGAGGAAGAAAGAAGAGCAGGCAGUGUCUCAGUGCGGUGCUAUGCUGUUCUAGGAAGAUGGGGCGUUGAUGAUGGACCGCAGCUGGAUGCAGGUGCGGACGAAUGACCAGAAGUGAAUGGCCGGAGCCGUAACUGGAUGCCGGCAGCCGACGCCCGGCCGUGUUGCUUGGCGAGAGGCAGCACCCGUACUCAGACCUUCUUCCUUCUACAGCAGCAACAUCAGCCCGGUGCUCUGCUCCAGUUCCUCCAUCCUUGCCGCCACCUCUUCCCACUUCCCAGCACUGGCCGCUACGAUGAACCCAUUUGCUUGCUGCGAUGGUUACGGACGCUCAUGGGAUUGCUGCGAGCGAAGAGUGAUGCGAGGGCAGGACGCGGGAGCCAAGGCCCCACACGGAGGGGUGAUGCUCUGAUGGAUGCCGGGCUGGCCGGAGCUCGC
rnacentral:lncRNA from 1 species